UGCAGGCUGCAACUCGCCUGCAUGAAGCUGGAAUUGCUAGUAAUCGCGGAUCAGCAAGCCGCGGUGAAUACGUUCCCGGGCCUUGUACACACCGCCCGUCACACCAUGAGAGUCGGGAACACCCGAAGUCCGUAGUCUAACCGCAAGGGGGCGCGGCCGAAGGUGGGUCCGGUAAUUGGGGUGAAGUCGUAACAAGGUAGC
rnacentral:rRNA from 1 species